rnacentral:rRNA from 1 species
UACGAAGGGUGCAAGCGUUAGUCGGAAUUACUGGGCGUAAAGCGUGCGUAGGCGGUUUCCUAAGUCGGAUGUGAAAGCCCUGGGCUCAACCUGGGAAUGGCACUCGAUACUGGGAAGCUGGAGUGCGGUAGAGGAGGGUGGAAUUCCCGGUGUAGCGGUGAAAUGCGUAGAGAUCCGGAGGAACACCAGAGGCGAAGGCGGCCGACUGGACCUGACCUGACGCUGAGGCGCGAAGGCGUGGGGAGCGAACGGG